rnacentral:rRNA from 1 species
GACGAACGCUGGCGGCGUGCUUAACACAUGCAAGUCGAACGGAAAGGCCCUGCUUUUGUGGGGUGCUCGAGUGGCGAACGGGUGAGUAACACGUGAGUAACCUGCCCUUGACUUUGGGAUAACUUCAGGAAACUGGGGCUAAUACCGGAUAGGAGCUCCUGCUGCAUGGUGGGGGUUGGAAAGUUUCGGCGGUUGGGGAUGGACUCGCGGCUUAUCAGCUUGUUGGUGGGUAGUGGCUUACCAAGGCUUUGACGGGUAGCCGGCCUGAGAGGGUGACCGGCCACAUUGGGACUGAGAUACGGCCCAGACUCCUACGGGAGGCAGCAGUGGGGAAUAUUGCACAGUGGGCGGAAGCCUGAUGCAGCAACGCCGCGUGCGGGAUGACGGCCUUCGGGUUGUAAACCGCUUUCGCCUGUGACGAAGCGUGAGUGACGGUAAUGGGUAAAGAAGCACCGGCUAACUACGUG